GCCGCGAGCGGCGAUAGGCGCAGCGCUCGGCCAAUGGGAGGCGGCCCUGUCCCACACUUCACGAUUCAGCGUUCCAUCUCUUGAGCUCAUGGGCGUUUUACUACGAUUCCUAUCCAGAGGGAUUGUUUACAUUGUGAGAUCCUCAUAUCGCAGAACUUAUGGUAGGAAAAGAAAAUAUCCAACAGGAACAAGCAAGACUGCUGAAAGUGUAUUGAAACAAACAAAAUAAACUUGGUUGCUGCUGAGAGUUUUCCGGGCUGCAUGGCCAUGUUCCAGAACAGCUGAAGGCAGCAGCCCCUUAUCUCCUCCUUCCUCUCCUCCUUUGUGAGUCGCGCUCUUAAUUGAAGCGUUGGGAUUCCUCGCGU
rnacentral:lncRNA from 11 species